AUGGUUUUAGCGCGCGCUACCGUUUCCGGCGCUUCAGCGGACGAGCAAAACUGCGCGCGCGGCAUAUGUAAUUCAGGGCGCGGGCGGAAACGCCAUCGCGUGCGCGGCAUAUGUAAUUCAGCGCGCGGGCGGAAACGCUAUCGCGCACCGCUUAUUUGCUGCGCCCAUUCCUGCGCGCUAGACUCUCGAGCGCUCGCGUGCACCUUCAUCUCCCAUCCAGCCGUGCCGCCGCGGCUGCCCACGUCACCCCAUUUUUCUGGUGGCCGUUCCGGCGCUUCCCUGGUCUCUUCCCACGCGGCCACGGCUUCCUCCCAUCGCGCGCGGCCGUCUCCAAAGAACAGCGCCCGGCCGCCCAUCCCCGCUUUGGCGCCCGCAAGGUGUUCGAUAAAAGGCCCGCAAGGUAUGUAUUGA
rnacentral:rRNA from 1 species